UUGUUGAUAUUUUUGUUAAGUCUUUGAAGGUGAAUUCGGUAAAUAGCAAAAAUAAAAUGAAUGAAAUAUUUUGAUGGAUAAAUUUAUUCUGACCACCCUGCUGUCGCUGCAUGGCUAAUCAGUGCUCAGUGAUUUAAAACACGAAAACUUUGUUUUCAAUUUUUGAUUUCAUGUUUAUUUUUAAUGUUUUUAAGCAUAUCAAAUGAUGUAAUAUCGUGCAAUAAUAAAAAUUUAGUUCGGUCGUCCCUGUAAAUGCCGCAACUGCGCCAUGACUGUACGCUAAUCCUAUUCCGUUUGUGAUGCGAAUUACCGGCCGUCGAGGAGUCAGCCCGGGUGAGCCAAACAAGAUCCGUUUGACGUAGAUAAAACGAAUUAGUCUCAUGUAACCGGUGCCGUAGAUACGUUUGUGGGGAGCUGAUGCGCAUUAGCGUAGUGCGUAUUUGGAACGGAUCGCUCAUGUAACCCCGGUAUAAGGUAACACGGAGCCGAAGCUUCAAGCCAGGGGACACGGGAGGCAUGCCGUCAGCUGUCCAUUUAUAAAUAAUCGGUUUCUUUGACUUAAUUUCUAAUGUUUUUCUGAUGUUUUGCAUCAAUGAGGUACAUCAAAAAUUAAGUUUUAAUUUUUUUGAGGUCGAAAAUAUUUUGUUGUCCAAACUAUCCCCGUUUAAAGAAAACAGACAAGGGGAGAGUUUACCCAGGACCCUAUGGAGAGAGUCAACCCAGGGCCCUAUGGGAGAGAGUUAACACGUGCUUCUAUGGGGCGAAUUCGAUGCAACAAUGGCGCAGUAGCGACAUUACUCUUGUUCGAUGUUUUUCGGACGACAAAGAUUCUAUGCCAUUCGGCCAAUCACAUUCCAUAAUUGCAGCCGAGCCCCCGUUGAUCUAGAACGGGAUUGGCCGGACGACGUACAAUCUUCGUCGUCUGAGAGACAUCGAACGAGGGGUACAUCGACUGAACAUACAUUGCGAUUCAAUAUUCAGUAUUUUAUGACCGUGAUUGCAAUCCAAAUUUGCAUUUGAGCUCAGCAGUCGAGUGUGGUGCCAAAAAUACCAGAAGCGAUGUCCUAUAGGUAUACGGCCUUGACCAGAAGUGUUGCAUGCCCUGGAUGCAGAAAAACAAGAUUGAGAUGAGUGGAUCAAGAUGUAUCUUUCGUGCAGAUGUAUCAAGAUCCUUUCACUUAAGAUCCAUGCAGGCGCAAGCUUUGGAUGAACUUCUGCUUCUGCGGUCGGCAUUCUUACAGGAGAACCCAAGAUUCAUUGUACCUACCUGUAUGCAUUUCAAAACUGAAUAAUUGAUAGCAACAAGUAAAUAUUUGAAGUUGCAGCCAAAUGCUGUGCCUUCUCUGCUGCAAGAGCUACAUGUCACCAUUGAAGCAAGGACCAGCUCGACUCCUGCAGUAGGAGUCCAGCCUCGUCCAGUCGUCGCCGCUCGCCAAGACCAGCCGGACUCCUGCAAUAGGGGUCCAGGCUGACCCGUUCGUCCAGUAACCGCCGCUCGUCAGCACCAGCUGGGCUCCUGUAGUAGGGGUCCAGCCUCGUCCAGUCGCCGCCGCUCGCCAAGACCAGCUGGGCUCCUGUAGUAUGGGGCUAGGAUGGCCCGUUCAUCAACCGGUCCUGAAGUCACAUCGCCGUCAGCCAGCCGAACUCAGUACAUAAGUCACCAACCCUGAAUGUUGCCAGCCAAAGUCGGCAGUUUCCUUCGGACAGUCAUCUCACCAGUGUUGUACAGUGUACGAGGUUAGUGACGCAGUUAAAUGCGUCAAUUAAAUGCGAGGACGUGCGCUUGUAUGCAGCGUUUUGUCAUGUUGAGCUGCAUGGGUGUCGAUUUUCACCGAAUUGAGGGUGCCCACUGCCCGGGCGCAGCAAAUCCGCCGCUGCCUUAGCGGUGACCUUGACCCGCACCGUCUGUUGGGGCUCCAAAGCCAAGCCAGCCGAGUCGGCGGGGAAUCUAAAGAGCUUGAGCACCCCCAACCCGGCGGAAAUUGACACCUAUGUUGAGCUGUAUGGAUGCGUUUUAGCCUUCCGCCGUGGUGGUAAAUAGCAGCCUACAUGCAGAAUUAGGCAGGCUUAUUAGCGGACUCAUUAUUGGAUUCAUUGUGUCACGUUUGUCGGCACGUGUAAGAUGUGCUUAACUGCCAUUAGCUCUCGGCCUGGCGACUUCUGGGGACCACGUAAUGGGGAU